rnacentral:rRNA from 1 species
AGAGUUUGAUCCUGGCUCAGGAUGAACGCUGGCGGCGUGCCUAAUACAUGCAAGUCGAGCGAACAGAUAAGGAGCUUGCUCCUUUGACGUUAGCGGCGGACGGGUGAGUAACACGUGGGUAACCUACCUAUAAGACUGGAAUAACUCCGGGAAACCGGGGCUAAUGCCGGAUAAUAUUUAGAACCGCAUGGUUCUAAAGUGAAAGAUGGUUUUACUAUCACUUAUAGAUGGACCCGCGCCGUAUUAGCUAGUUGGUGGGGUAAUGGCUUACCAAGGCAACGAUACGUAGCCGACCUGAGAGGGUGAUCGGCCACACUGGAACUGAGACACGGUCCAGACUCCUACGGGAGGCAGCAGUAGGGAAUCUUCCGCAAUGGGCGAAAGCCUGACGGAGCAACGCCGCGUGAGUGACGAAGGUCUUCGGAUCGUAAAACUCUGUUAUUAGGGAAGAACAAAUGUGUAAGUAACUGUGCACGUCUUGACGGUACCUAAUCAGAAAGCCACGGCUAACUACGUG